CAAUACCCGCAAUUCCCAAAUCCUUUUGGUUGAUCAUAUCACAUGCAUCCCCAUCUAUAACUGUAUCCCAAUCUAUAAUUCUUUCAAAUCAAAUCAAAACCCUUGUUUCCCAAUUGAAAUUGAUGGCGCAGAGCUGAGUUUAAACACAGAUUGAGUGUUCUAUUCUCACUAAUUAAUCGGCGCCAUUGUAUAUCACAGUAACCAACGCACAAAGAGUACUCUGGUAGCUUCAAUUCGGAGACUGCAGGUAAACCUCCGGCGUAGCUUCUUCUCAUAUAUAUAUAUAUAUAUAUAUAUUUGUUUACUCAUGUAAUAUUUUUUUGUAUGACUGGGUAUAUGACUUUGCUUAUGAUAAUUGUUUGUUAAUUGUCACGGUUACGAUUCACUUGGUCUGGUUGGCCGGCCCUAGGGCUUUGUAUUGGGUGUUUGUGUGGGGUUUUGGUGCGCGGCUGAAGUUUUGCAUUGUUUAUGUUCGCGGUAGUCUUGUGUGGAGACAAAAUGUUUGUUGUACUAGAUUUUUAGUUUAGCAUUUUGAAUCAAUUCAAUAUUAUUUAGGAAUAGCAUGACAAGAUUGGGGAUGAUAACAAAAUGCGAAUGCUAACAAAAUCGAUGGUGUUGGGUUAGUGGUGUUAUGUUUUCCGAGUUUGAUAUUAUUUUUUAUGGGUUUGAUGUUCUUGUUUUGGGUGUUGGGUGGUUGGUGGUGUUAUGUUUUUUGUCAUCUUACCCCUCGUUACCUCACACCUUGUUCGGCAUCAACAAAGAAUAUGUAACUUACUUCACAAGAAUGCUCUUUAAAGUGAACCGAGUACAAUCACAAAUUUGGUAGAAAUCUCAGCACAAUCUUCAAAAUAUGGCUUUUAAUUUGUUGUUCAAUUGGUUUCUAAACACUUUUUGAACCUCACAAAAAAAAAAGAAGUAGUUAAAUCCCAUUUCUCUCUCAAUCAUCAUACUUAUAUUACCGUUUAAUUGAAAAAGAAAAACAAAAACCAAUACCCCAAUUCCCAAAUCCUUAAAUAGUUAAAUCAUAUCACCUGCAUCCCAUCUAUGCCUUGUGAAAAUCAAAGCAAUCAAAUCAAAACCCUUGUUUCCCAAUUGAAAUUGAUGGCGCACAACUGGGUUUACAGAGAUUCAGUGCUAUAUUCUCACUAAUUAAUUGGCGCGGUUGCAGAGGAAUUCCGUA
rnacentral:lncRNA from 1 species